AAUUAUUAAAACCACAAUGUGAACCUCAACGUCCCGUGCCUUGGCUUGCCAGUGGGGCAUUCGGUAUAACACCCGUUUGUAUUCACAGCUGAGUGGGCAUUGCAGCCUGCUCAGUGGCGCCUUGGCAUGACUAUACACCAGUGCUAACCACUGAUAAACCAAACUCUGAAGUAAUGAUUGCUAGCAACUGGCAAUUAUAACCAAAGA
rnacentral:misc_RNA from 1 species